rnacentral:lncRNA from 10 species
GAUGAAAGAAAGAAUUUAGUUCUAUGCAGAUUCUUUUUUAUUUUGUUGAAAGACACAUUUUUUCUCCUGCUAAAAAUUACCAAUUCAUUUCCUCUAGAGCUUGAGGCACCAUGACACAGAAACCAAGGACACAUGACUUCAGAUACUUAAGAAAACUCAUGUCAUCAAAUCACAUCAAGAACAUUGGAUGGCACAUCAAGACCUUCGUAAUAACAAGAUCAUCAUCAUCACCAUCACCAUGCUGAUCACCCUUUCAACCAUGGAAUGCUGCUGACAUAAGCAAGUGACAAGUUAGAUUCUGCUUGACG